CAGGAUGAUAUAUUUCGACUCGUCGGGCUUCCAUUGGUGGAGAAAUGCUUGGCCGGGUUCAACAGUUCCAUAUUUGCGUAUGGGCAGACUGGUAGUGGAAAGACGUAUACGAUGUGGGGACCUCCGAGCGCUGUCCGAAGAUUCUUCGAGUAGUGAGUGGGGUUUGACUCCACGUGUUUUUGAGCGGUUUUUUUCUCGCAUAAAUGAAGUUGGUAGUCUAUGCAGUCCUGCUCAACAUGGUAUUUUAGAUCCACUCAUGCUUACAGGAUUAUAUAUGUCUUAGGAGCAACCUAAGCAUUCCGACAAGCAGCUGAAUUACCAGUGUCAUUGUUCCUUUCUGGAGGCAAGUGUGCUGAUGCUACCUUCAAAUCAUGUACUUCUUGGUUGGUUGGUUUUUUAGUUUUUAAUCUGUCUGAUUGUUGAGAUUACAGACCUCCAAUGAGCAAAUUACUGAUCUUUUGGACCCAACACAAAAGAAUCUUCAGAUUAGGGAAGAUGUUAAAGCUGGCAUUUAUGUUGACUGUUUGACAGAGGAGUAUGUGUAUACAAUGAAGGAUGUAAUCCGUCUGCUGACAAAGGUCCAUUGAUUCUCUUCUUUUCCAAGUCAUAUUUUGUAGUUUGUGAUCAAUUAAUAUUUCUCAAAGAACUUUUUAGGAGUUAUGUUCAGGAUUAUUGGCUCAACAGAAAAAAUGUUCAAAUUGUAAAUAAGAGUAAUCUUUUAUCCAUUCGUUAUAGAAUACUUUGAAAACACCAACAUAACUUUUUCUUUGUUUUAUUUUGUAGAUAUCGUUUUAUAUGAAAAGUUGCAAUUUUCAUGUGCAUGCUUGUGGUGUCUUGAUGAGAACAAGUGUGACUGUGUGUGCAUGUGCAUGAAUGUGUCUGUAUGUGCAUGUGCAUGAAUGUGUCUGUAUGUGCAUGCUCAUUUGUGUGCAUGUGUUGUCCCAUACAGCACUAAUGAAAAUUUUUCUCAUUUGAUUUUUUUAACUAUUGAUAGUUGAAUUAUCCGUUUUAUGAUGUUUAUAAGUCCCUUCUUGAAGAAUAAUGCUUUUGUUAAAGCUACUUCUAGCAUGCAGUUUUGUCUUUUCAUGCAAAAGUUCUAUUAUGUAGAAUUAGAAUUAGUUGAGCUAGUGUCAUGGAAAAUCCAUUUGCCAUUGAGAUUUGACAUUCUGGUUUCUAUCUUAUUAUCUUCUAUGGUUUUGUAUAUUUAUUACUUUUGUUUGAUUGUUUGACACAGCUUCUUCUUUAACCAUUUUGCAAGUUCCUGGAUGCUUAGCAUAGACUCGUGGCAUGGCUAUUCUUAUUUUUUCUUUAUGGAUAUGAUAUCUGCAAAUGAUAUGCAUAUUUACAACUCCUCAAUUGCUUUUCUGGGAUUAGCAAACAGGCGAACAGGUGCAACCAGCGUAAAUAUGGAGAGUUCCCGUUCUCACUGCGUAUUUACUUGCAUUGUUGAUUCCCAGUCAAAGGUAGUAAAUUGUGUUAACAAUCAAAGUUCACUUGGAGAUGAAGAUUUCAUUAUGAUGUUAACAGAUUAAGAAAUCAUAUAAAUAUAUGUAGGUCAAACGGUAGCUUCCUUAUUCAACAGUGAAACUUUUGUCAAUUAUUUGCAA